AUGAGGAGCCAGCAGAAGGGAGUGGAGCAGAGCCCUGCAUCUCUGCAUGUUCCAGAGGGAGCCAUCGCCUCUCUCAACUGCACUUAUACUGACAGUACUUCUCAGUACUUCUUUUGGUACAGACAGUACCCCAGCAAAGGCCCUGAGUUGCUCCUGUACGGAUACUUGAAUAAUGACAAAGAGGAAGGAAGAUUUACAGCCCAGGUCAAUAAAGCCAAGCAGUAUGUCUCCCUGCUCAUCAGAGACUCCCAGCCCAGCGACUCAGCCACCUACCUCUGUGUGAUCCUCCACCCCAUCUCCACCCUCAACUGCUACCCCACUGGUGGAUUAGAUAAGGAUACAUUUGAUGAGUGGAUGGAAGGACUAGAGUCGGAAGGUGAGAACUGGUUGAAACAAAAAGCCUAG